AGAGUUUGAUCCUGGCUCAGGAUGAACGCUGGCGGCGUGCCUAAUACAUGCAAGUAGAACGCUGAAGCUUGGUGCUUGCACCGAGCGGAUGAGUUGCGAACGGGUGAGUAACGCGUAGGUAACCUGCCUCUUAGCGGGGGAUAACUAUUGGAAACGAUAGCUAAUACCGCAUAAAAGUCGACAUUGCAUAAUGUUGACUUGAAAGGUGCAACUGCAUCACUAAGAGAUGGACCUGCGUUGUAUUAGCUAGUUGGUGGGGUAACGGCUCACCAAGGCGACGAUACAUAGGGGGACUGAGAGGUUAACCCCCCACACUGGUACUGAGACACGGACCAGACUCCUACGGGAGGCAGCAGUGAGGAAUAUUGGUCAAUGGACGCAAGUCUGAACCAGCCAUGCCGCGUGCAGGAUGACGGCUCUAUGAGUUGUAAACUGCUUUUGUGCGAGGGUAAACGCAGAUACGUGUAUCUGUCUGAAAGUAUCGUACGAAUAAGGAUCGGCUAACUCCGUGCCAGCAGCCGCGGUAAUACGGAGGAUUCAAGCGUUAUCCGGAUUUAUUGGGUUUAAAGGGUGCGUAGGCGGUUUGAUAAGUUAGAGGUGAAAUUUCGGGGCUCAACCCUGAACGUGCCUCUAAUACUGUUGAGCUAGAGAGUAGUUGCGGUAGGCGGAAUGUAUGGUGUAGCGGUGAAAUGCUUAGAGAUCAUACAGAACACCGAUUGCGAAGGCAGCUUACCAAACUAUAUCUGACGUUGAGGCACGAAAGCGUGGGGAGCAAACAGGAUUAGAUACCCUGGUAGUCCACGCAGUAAACGAUGAUAACUCGUUGUCGGCGAUACACAGUCGGUGACUAAGCGAAAGCGAUAAGUUAUCCACCUGGGGAGUACGUUCGCAAGAAUGAAACUCAAAGGAAUUGACGGGGGCCCGCACAAGCGGAGGAACAUGUG
rnacentral:rRNA from 1 species